GACAGGCAGCGACACAAGCACAGCCAUAAACCAGGGCCAGGAUGGGUGAAGGACCGAAUGCUCUUCGUGGCGCCUUCAACAGGAGUGGCUCACCUACUUUUGUAUAUUGGUGAGGAUGGUAGGGGAGUGGGGGCAUUUUGCCCUUGCUUUGAAAAAAUUCAAGAGUGCUAUCUGGACUUCCUCUCUCUUCAGCCGUGCAGUUCAGUAGAACAAACUGGGAACAGUUUGGGAAUUGUUUACACCAUGGGCAUUGGCAACCCUGUCCCUUCAUAGAAUUUUGGCUUAGUUCUAGACACACUGAAUGCCUUGAGUGUGAGGAUUAACUCUGAUGGUUCUGUUUUAACUUUCCGAAUCUUUAGGUAUUGGCCUGGAGUGAUUCCAAGCUCUCCUGGAACAGGAGGUGCCCCCACUCUGGGCAUAAAUAUCUCUCCCUCAUCCCUCGCAGACAACGAUCUUUGAGUACCAUCCAGUCAUAAUAUAGACAUGGCCAAGGACAGAAUGACACAUGGUACAAGCUUUCUGUCUUACUGCCACACGUCAGUGUCCUGGGAGAUGAACCAGAUGCAGGUGAUGCCGAAGAGCUCCCUGAUGAAUGUGGGAAUAAAAAUUUAUAUCAGAAUCGACACUGGUUAUAAUGUGAAUUUAUGACAUUACUUGAGAAUAUUCAAUUCUGCUGUAGAGGACAAAAAAAAUGGAAUAAUGAAAUCCAUCAUAAACCCUGGGCAUAGUUGAUGGAGUCUUGCUGUUUUGCCCAGGCUGGAGUGCAGUAGUGCGAUCUUGGCUCACUGCAACAUCUGCCUCCCAGGUUCAAGUGGUUCUCCUGCCUUAGCCUCCCCAGUAGCUGGGGUGACAGGUAUGCACCAUGUUGCCCAAGUUUUUGCAUUAUUUAGUAGAGAUGGGGUUUCACCACAUUGCCCAGGCUGGUCUUGAACUCUUGACGUCAAGUGAUCUGCCCGCCUCGGCCUCCAAAGGUGCUGGGAUUACAGGCAUGAGCCACUGCGCCCAGCCAAGAUUUUCUUGGAUUUUUUUCUCUGUCAUUAAGUGUAGUCUCUAUUUCUACCUGCUUUGUACUACAAACCAAUUUAAAUAAGCAUGCUGUCUUUCUCCAUAAAAACAUUAAACUGUAGAACAAUGUUUUUAUGGAGAAAAAGAGCUAAAGUCACAUGCUGGUGGAGCAUAAAACGCUCACUUGAAGAACACCUUGGUAAUGGCUCCAGCUAACUGUACCAUGACCUAAUCCUGUGGCUGGAACCUCUGGGGAGUCUUAUCCACCUCCCCAAAUCCAUUUGACAAGCUCAGGUCCAAUACCACUUCUUUCAUGGGCUAUUCUCUGAUCUUCUCAGAAUGUCUAUCUUCUAUUGAAUUUGCCACAAUAUUUUGUUUGUACUACUCUUGAGACAUCCCACACAACCUUGAAUUAUAAUUGCUCACAUGGGUGUCUCAGCAUUUAUUCUAGACCAUAAGAUACUUAAAAGGAGGAAUUGUGAUUUCUUUGACAGUUUUGUCUCUUAGAAUUUAAGGGUGAGGGUGCUUAAUAAGUAUUAGAAAUAACGGAUAAGUAAAAUAUUCAGUGCUAUUAAAAAUACUAUUAAAUCUCAACACCUCCAGGGGUUACAUAUCUGAAAAAAGAUAUCAUACAUAUCUAUAUAAAUUCUAAAAUAAAUUGAAAUAGUCCAUAUCAAAAACCCUGCUGGAGUAGGUAACUCUUCACAAUCGACUUCAAUUAUUCAUGAUAUAAUUUUUGCAGGCACAUCAAAAAUUGUAUGUUUAGAGGUUAGAGGAUGAAUCCUCUUACAGUUUUCAAACCAGUCUGUACUAGCUUGAAAUGUAAUGUUUCUUGCACUUGAAUUUUCCCUGCUUUGUGUCUGCCAGUCUUGGCCCAAUGCUUGGGUACUUUUUUUAUGUUAUUGUGGUGCUUACAGGUGUUUUUCCAGCUGUGUUUUUCUAUCCUGAGGUUACAUCGGAGUAUGACAUGAUCAAACCUCUUCUUUGCACCAUGUCACAGAACCACCUUAAUGGAAGAGUGGACAAUAACUAUUGUGGUUUUCUCCUAUUUCAGGUGAUGGAAUGGAACCAUGUGUGUACAAAAAGAUACAGGAAUGUACAUAUUCAGUUUGCAAUAUAAAAACAUACACUGUGAUUGGAGAGGGAUUACAACAUUCUAAUUGCAAUUUUUGUCAUUUAUUCAAUAAAUAUUUCCUGGCUGGGUAUGAUGGCUCAAAGUGCCUGUAAUCCCAGCACUUUGGGAGGCCAAAGCAGGCAAAUCACCUGAGGUCAGGAGUUUGAGACCAGCCUGGCCACCAUGGUGAAACCCCAUCUCUACUAAAAAUACACAAAUUAGCUGGGUGUGGUGGUGCAUGCCUGUAAUCUCAGCUACCUGGGAGGCUGAGGCAGGAGAAUUGCUUGAACUCGGGAGGCGGAGGUUGCAGUGAGCUGAGAUUGCACCACUGCACCCCAGCCUGGGCAACAGAGUGAGACUCUGUCUCAAAACAAACAAACAAACAAACAAACAAAUUCCUGAGUGCCUACCAUAUGCUGAUUAAACUGUUCUAGAUGUUGGAGAUGCAGCUAUGGACAAGACAAAUACAGUCUCUUCUCUCCAGGAAUUUACCUUCUAAUGGAGGAGAGAGACAAAAACAACUUUGUACAUAAACCUUUUCUGAUAGUCAUUAAGAAAAUAAAGCAACAUGGUGUCCAAAUUCUAGAUUGCUCAUUUUAAAGGCUAGGGUGCCUAAAACCACAAGGAACAUUUCAGAAUUAGUAACAUUCAUACUUCGUAGAGCUAUACUUAGGCUAAUAAAUGUUUGGUAUUGUUGCCUCCCCAACAGCCACCUCAGACCACCUCCUGACUCCAAGUUUCCCUGCUCAUCAAUCCAAAAUUUUGUUGAAUAUACUACUUCCCCACCCCCAAUGGAGCUUAAGGGUUAACCUGAACUCUCUAAACCAAUCAGGGCAUUCCUACUGUCUUUGAUCGUGAGUGUUGUAGGCAGAGACAUAUAACCCAAUCCUUGCUAAUGAGACUUGAGGUAGGACCCCAGCUUCCGGAGAGGUUGCCUGGCUCCUAAAAAGAGAAAGAUACCGGAAAAGAGAUGGACUCUUCUACCACUGGAAAUCAGAUGGUGUCCUGAGUGACAUAAGUGUACUUACAACAGCCAUUUUGCAACCAUAAAGAAGCCAGUGGGAAUACACAGGCUACGUGUCCUCGAAGGCACAGAAGAAAGAAGAGAGAAAACUAUAUUCUUGAUGACACAGUUGAGCUACAGAAUUGUCCAACCCCGGAGGUGCCCCACUUCGCGUUGUGGGAGAUAAUGCAUUUUCCUUGCUGUUUAAACCACUUUGAGCUGAGUUUUCUAUUACCAGCAGCCUAAAGCAUUUUGACAGAUAAAAGUAGAUACAAAUGCACAUAUAUAAUGAGCAUCCUGACUGAACGAUUAAAUGUGUAUGUAGGCAUGCAUUACCUCCCCACUCCAUUUAUGAUUGUCACAUUUAUUUUUACUUCAGGGAAAAGCAACUAUAGAAUUUAAAAAAUCAGGAUUGAAAACAAAUACCUGAAUUUCCUACAAUUAAAAAAUCAAUCCAUUAAGUAGUGGUAUUAUGCUAAAAUAAAAUGAAUGCUUAG
rnacentral:lncRNA from 1 species